UACGUAGGGUGCGAGCGUUAAUCGGAAUUACUGGGCGUAAAGCGUGCGCAGGCGGUUUUGUAAGCCAGAUGUGAAAGCCCCGGGCUUAACCUGGGAAUGGCAUUUGGGACUGCAAGGCUUGAGUGCGGCAGAGGAGACUGGAAUUCCUGGUGUAGCAGUGAAAUGCGUAGAUAUCAGGAGGAAUACCGAUGGCGAAGGCAGGUCUCUGGGCUGACACUGACGCUCAUGCACGAAAGCGUGGGUAGCAAACAGG
rnacentral:rRNA from 1 species